rnacentral:lncRNA from 1 species
ACUCUCCUCCUACUGACUACGUUUACUACGCCAGCCUUAUAGAUGAUUCAGAGUCUGCAGAACGCUGUCUUUCUACCUAGCCGAUUUCCCCCUAUGGAGGUCGGAGACGCCAGUUUCUCCUGUUCCACAUCGAGAUUUUCCUGACAAGCACCCUGGGGGACCCUAGAGGGCAGCAAUCCUGUCCUAUUCUUCUGUGUGUUCCUGUGCCCAGCCCAAGGCCCCCAGAUGGAAGCUGCACGGAGUGUUUACUGAUUGAAGGAACGAAUGGAGAAGGGGCUCAUCUCUUGCUAAUCUUGAAGACAGUGCACGUGCACUCACAUAAAAUAACUACUCCCUUCAGCUAUAUAGACGCAUUUGACGCCAUGUCAGUGGACAGCCCUACCAAAGCCAGAAGCAAAAAUUCCUCUGUGGAAAAGAUAUGCUGGGCCCUAAUUAGUGGCCCCGUAACCUGGACAAUAUAUCAAGGAAGAGGAGGGAGAGAAAAGAAAGACAGAUAGACAAGCACUUUGGAGUUCCUGAGGAGGUGAGCAGUAGUAAACUGUGGAUGGGAUGCUGGACCAGGCUGGAGGUCAAGAAAAGGUAUUUCAGCAGAGGAAGUUUCAGAUACUAUACUUUAUACUAUAGUUAUAUGAAGAGGCGACCAAAAGAUAUGUAGCCAAAAGUCAAGGAAAAAAGGCCUCCAAUUGCACAAGCUUAAGGCCCCACAAAACCUGGAUGUGCUGCUGCACAGACUCACAUCCUACAAGAGAGCCCUCUGGAGCUCUGGUCCCUCCUGCUCUCUCCAGCCACCUCGGCCUCCCACAGUGAGACCUUGCAUGCCCCACCGGAGCUCACUGCAGCUGGCACUGCUCCUGAUCUGAGCCACACCCAGCCCCAGUCCCAGGCACAUUGGGCAACAGCAGGCAUUUCCCAGAAGGAAUGAGCCUGGCCCCAGGAGCUCCCACCCUCCCACACACUCUGUGCUCAGCUUUGCUGCUCUCACACCUUCUCUGGCUCCUCGACACCUUCAAGAC